UUUCUCGGUUCUUGGUUCAUCACUCCGGAAUUUGAGAAGGAUUCCAGCGGCGAGCAAGCUCAAUUUCAUGGAUCCUUCCAUACAUGGCGUGAGCAAACCAGACGAUUGGGCAAAAGCCGUCGUUGAUUGCUACCCAUGGAAUUGGAGCUCUCAUGCCCUUGGUUUUGGAGUCAAUACAGCAUAAGCUCUUCAUGCUUAUCCAUAGCCAGAGAAUAUGUGUUGCUAUUCCUCAUCCUAACUAAAUGGAACAACGAUGGAAAGAUGUAAGGUCCCUGUACACUUAGAC